GAGGGGAGAUGGAACCCUGAGCAGCCCAUGUACAUGGAAGAUCUUUAUUGCAGAGAUCUUCAAACCAGCUAGUGUGCAUUUACUCCUGCCUCUCCAUGCCUGAAGGAAGGAAUGAAGAGGUCUCUGCUGUCCAUCUGAGCCAGUGACUGGGUGAAUAUGCCUGCCCAAUUCUAGCAUGCAGUAUUAGGAAGCCCACUGUUGCUGUGCACCUAAGCCCAGGUUUUCCAGUAUCAGCUCUUUUAGUAAUAAAGUUGGCAUUGUAGUUUCUAGCUA
rnacentral:lncRNA from 10 species